rfam:Oryza nivara chromosome 4, whole genome shotgun sequence.
UAUAAGUGUAGUUUUGCACUAUUCACGUGACCGUUCAUCUUAUUUAAAAAAAUUUUAUGAUUACUAUUUUUAUUGUUAUUACAUGAUAAAAUAUGAAUAAUACUUAAUAUGUGACUAAAUAUUUUCAAAUUUUUCAUAAUUUUUUUAAAUAAGACGGAUGGUCAAACGUUGGACACGGAUAUCCACGGCUGCACUUAUU